rnacentral:rRNA from 1 species
GACGAACGCUGGCGGCGUGCUUAACACAUGCAAGUGGUGCGACGAACCAGGGCUUGCCCUGGGGCAAAGCCGCGAACGGGUGAGUAACACGUGAGUACUCUGCCCCGAUGACCGGGACAACCCGAGGAAACUCGGGCUAAUACCGGAUGUGGUUCUUUGGCUUAAGCCUUUGCACUAAAGGAAGCUUCGGCCUCCGCAUUGGGAGGAGCUCGCGGCCAUUAGCUUGUUGGUGGGGUAACGGCCUACCAAGGCGACGAUGGGUAGCUGGUCUGAGAGGACGAUCAGCCACACUGGGACUGAGACACGGCCCAGACUCCUACGGGAGGCAGCAGUGGGGAAUCUUGCGCAAUGCGCGAAAGCGUGACGCAGCAACGCCGCGUGGGGGAAGACGGCCUUCGGGUUGUAAACCCCUUUCAGGAGGGACGAAGGUUCGCCGGUGAAUAGCCGUGCGGAUUGACGGUACCUCCACAAGAAGCUCCGGCUAACUACGUGCCAGCCGCCGCGGUAAGAC